rnacentral:misc_RNA from 1 species
AACGCAAGUUGCGUCAAUUUGAAAAAAUUGGCAUAUUUGUAUGAGUUUUAUUAAAACCAAUAAAGUUUUUAAUAAAAAGAAUGGGGUUAUUUGUUUUUGAUUACGAAAACAGAUUGCCUUGAAAUUUUAAUUUUAAUUAUGAACAAUUUUGAAAAUUUUGCUUUGAUUGUGAAAUUUCUAAUAAGAAAAAUCAUUCUCAGUUGUUUUUCACUCAUUUAUUUGAGUGAGAACAAUUUGAAUUGCAAUGGUUUUUUAUUAUGAAAUUAUUAAAAAACAAUCAUAACAACAAAAUCAUUUCACAUUUAUAUAUAAACUCAUAUCAAAUAAGAACACCCGCUGAACUUAA